rnacentral:rRNA from 1 species
UACGUAGGGACCAAGCGUUGUUCGGAUUUACUGGGCGUAAAGGGCGCGUAGGCGGCAAUUCAAGUCAUCUGUGAAAUCUCCGGGCUUAACUCGGAAUGGUCAGGUGAUACUGCUUUGCUAGAGUGCAGAAGGGGCAAUCGGAAUUCUUGGUGUAGCGGUGAAAUGCGUAGAUAUCAAGAGGAACACCUGAGGUGAAGACGGGUUGCUGGGCUGACACUGACGUGAGGCGCGAAAGCUAGGGGGGAGCAAAACGGGG